GCUGCGGUGUCCGAGUGGUUAAGGAGAUGGACACACAAUCCAUUGGGCUCUGCCCGCACAGGUUCGAAUCCUAUCCGCAGCG
rnacentral:tRNA from 1 species